CGUGGAUAAUGUGCCAUUCAGUGGGGAAUAACUAACCGAAAGGUUAGCUAAUACCGCAUGAGACCACAGUCCCUGAGGGGACAGAGGUUAAAGAUUUAUCGCUGAAUGAUCAGUCUGCGUAAGAUUAGCUAGUUGGUGAGGUAACGGCUCACCAAGGCAACGAUCUUUAGGUGGUCUGAGAGGAUGACCACCCACACUGGAACUGAGACACGGUCCAG
rnacentral:rRNA from 1 species